UCCCUUCCCUUUUAGUCUGUGCAUGUCUCUGGGUCUGAAAUGAGUCUCUUGUAGGCAGCAAAUAGACGGGUCUUGUUCCCUUAUCUAUUCUGUCCCCCUGUGUCUUUUGUUCGGUGCAUUCAGCCCCAUUUAAGGUAAUUAUUGACGGGUAUGUACUUACUGCCAUUUUGUUUUCCGGUUGUUUUUAUAGCUCCUCCUCUCUACUCUCUCGUUGUUUGAUGGUUUUCUUUAGUAUUGUGAUUAGAUUCCUCUUUUUAAAUUUUUUGUGUAUCUAUUAAUAGGCUUCAGGUUCGCGGUCACCAUAGGCUCAAGGAUAGCUUUCUAUUCCUAUGUGACAGUCGAUGGUAAGUCGGUGGUCGUGCUACUUCACACACAGUCUGAAAGCACAUCACUUUUCUUCUUCCUCCCCCACACUUCAUGUACUAGAUGUCAUGAUCUGCGCUUUUUGUGUAUCCCUUGACUGAUUUCGUGUGCAGUUGGUUUUACUACUUUUGGUUUAAUUUCAUACUUGCUUGCUAAAUAACUGGUCUCCUCCCUUCACUGUGGGUCUAUUUUCACUGGUGAAAGCUAUUUAGCCUUAGGAACAUUUCCAUCUCUAGCGGUUCCUUCACCAUCUCCUGUAAGGCUGGCUUAGUGGCAGUGAAUUCUGUCAACUUUGGUUUAUCUGAAAAUUGUUUAAUACCUGCCUCCAAUUUAGAUGAUAAUCUUGUUGGGCAGAGGAUUCCUGGUUGGAAACCCUUCUGUUUCGGUACAUUGACUACAUCAUGCCGCCCCCUCCGGCCUGCGGAGUUUCUGCUGGGAAGUCCGCUGACAGCCUUAUGGGAUUCCCUUUAUAAGUAACCACCUUUCUCUCUCUGGCUGCUUUGAACGCUCCUUAUCCUUGAUCUUCGCCAUUCUAAUUACUCUAUGUCUUGGUGUUGUCUCUCUGCGAUUCCUUUUGUCAGGGGCUCUCGGCACUUCCAUGACCUAUUUCCCUUCCCAGAUAGGGAAAGUUUUCAACAGUCAUUUCCUCAAAGAGACUCCUACCCCUUUGCCCCUCUCUCCUCCCUUUAUCGCCCCCGUCAUGAAUCCCGUUCCAUCCGGACCGCCCGCGCAGCUCUCAGCACCCUCUCGUCCCGGAAACCCUCUUUCCCCAGCCUGUGUCCCUGUCCCCUGACGUGCGCCUCACCGACCGUCUCCUCCCCGCGCAAGGACCCGCCAGCCCCCCACCCCCAGCGCACGCUCCGUUUCGGCCGCUGUGUCUUCAGUCUCAGCGGCUCCUCAGCUCCCCCCGGAAUCUUCAGCGCCUUUCUGCGGACCGGCGAGCGCAUUCGGGACUCCGAAGCCUUUGCAAGCGCGCUGCGGCCUCUGCCCCGUUCAGCUCCGCCUGGCGUCUGGCCCUGUGGGCGUGUUCGGGACGCGUUCCUCUGCCUCAUUUCCCGAGUUUCUUCCUUUAUACCAGGCGGAUCUGCUGCGCUCCCUGGUCUAGGGUGAUGGGUUUAUGGGGAAAGUGUCCUUGGGUGCCCAGAAGCCCGGGACUCUUUACUGCCAGCGGCUGGUUCGCCCUUAUGGUGGAGCCCGGUUCCUGCUGGCGGGCAGCGGGCGGGCCCGCCGCUCUCUCUCUGCCGGCGGCGGUCUCAGUCGGCCUCAGCUGGCCCUUUGUGACCACAGCAGUGGCUUCUGGGAUUGUCAUGGGCAGGGCUGCCCUCUGCCUGCCCCGCAGUGAUGGGGGAAUGCCCUGUAGUGAGGGUGGGGCAGCUGUGCAGCUCUGCGGCAGGCAGGGCAAGGCAGGGGCAUGCGUCAGAGGGUCAGGUGGGCGCCCCUGGGUGGCAGCGUGGCGUGCAGCACCAGGCUCGGCCACCCGUGCAGAGGAAGGAGCUCUCGGGCCGGCUUCUGCAGGCAUCCCCCUGGGUGGGCGGAGACAGGCCUCGGAGAGCUGGGAGAGCCUCCCUCUGUGUGCCAGGCAGCCAAGUCUGGCGCUGCUGGGCCGAGUGGGCUGGUGUGCCAGGGGAGUGCUGGGACAUGCCCUGGGGCUGAGCUGCCAACGGGGGGCAGGAAUGUCUGGGGCUCAGAGUGCCCAGCCUGGCGAGCCGAGAGGGUGCUGGAGGGGUGUCAUCCACCUGCCCUUUCAGCUGAGGAGAGCGCUCCACCCAGCCCUCGCCCCUCUGGCACCCCUCCCGCUGCUGGCAGUUCUUUGCUCUGGGUCUCGGUGGGACCAGGGGGGCGUGCCUGCCCUCCGCAAGCAGCUGGAGACCCAGCCUCCCAGAGAGCUCCACUCCCCCUGGUGUCCUGCCCACGAGCCACCAGAACCCAGUGUGGCGUGGGCUCCUGCUCCCAGAGCAGAUCUCCAGGGCCAGGCGUGCAGCGCUCCCGGGCUCCUGCCCCUUCCUCGCUCCAUUCUUCUUCCUCCCAUCCGUGGGCUGGGAAGGGGACAGGGCUUGGGUCCCACCCAGUCGUGGCUCUGCCACUUCACCCUUUUCUGUGUGGUCUUUUCUUCUGCCUCAGGUGUAGGUGGUCUCUUCUGCAGUCCUCAGGCCAUUUUCAGGGUCAGUUGUAUUUGCUGUAUUUCAUGUGUCUUUGGAAAGGGGGUUUCUGCCGUGCCUUCCUACUCUGCCAUCCUUUUCCCCUCCAAACUUACCUAUGGGGUGUUAUUUUUUAUCUAAAGCAUUUAUCCCAGAAGUUCAGGGAUUGCUUAAUCACAUGGAAUAAUCAAGGGCAAAGCCAAGCCAAAAGGUUGAAAGAAGAAUAUUGGGUAUUUAUUAUAAUGCUGUAAUCGUUAACAUGGUGUGGAUGAAUAAUCAGAAUUGAGAGGCGAGAAGUCAAUUAGUCUGUUAUUGGUAAAUCGUUCAGAACUUGGUAUGGAAGCUUGUGGGCUAAUGGGGGAAAGAUGGACUAUUAUAAUGUCAUACUGUGACAGCUGGCUGUCUCUGUGGAAGAAAACAAAAUUAGACCCUUAUUUCAAUUCCUGAUGGAUGCAAGACUUAUGUGGAAAAGUGAAACUCUGAAAAUCAGGACAUGAGAUUUGGAACAGUUUUGUGAUUCUGGAGUCAGGGAAGACGCUCUUGCACAAAGCUCAGAAUAUAUAAAAGACAUGAUUAAUGGUUACAGUAAAACUCAAAACUCAUAAGCAAAGUAAAAGAUAAACUGCUCUUUUGGAGAAGUUGUCUGUCAUCCAUACAAUUAAAGUGUGAAGAACUCCUAAAAAUCUAAGAGAAAGCUCAGUGGAAAAGGAGGUGAAGCACACGCCCAGUAAGCAGUUUACAAAAUAGGAAACCUGAAUGGCCAACAGCAGGGGACAGCCAAGCUCUCCUGCAAGCAAGGACGCUCAAUUCAAAUCCAAGCACACCUGACGUCCGACGUCUGGGCAUCCCCAGCAGUGUGGCCGACUGAAGCCCCCACCGUAGGCUGGCAACACCGCCACUUCAGAGCACCAGACACGGUGUAGGAGUCACGGAGCUGAGGACUGCUGCUGCAUCUCCUCACAGGAGGGCUGAGGCGGAGCCAGGCUGGUGCCCGCCCGCCGUCUGGCCUGGAGCUCAGUGGCCACCUGACAGGCUUACUCAGAGGACUGCGCUGGCAUCAAGGUCCCCUUACAGUCCCUAGUCAACAGCACUAGCCAGCUAUGUGCAUCCCUGCUGAAUCUGGCCCUGUGCGGGUUUGAGGGCCCAUGCUGACUGGCACCAAGCAGCCUCUUCUGGAGCCAGUGGAGACUGUCCCCAUCCUCCAACCAAGGCACCCACAUCAGCUGAUGUGCCCCUUGCCAGCCUGCAGAGAGACUGCGUAGGGACAAGCUUAGCAGCCCGUGCUUACUGCCCUGUCUGCUGCCAGAGAGGAGAGGACACCGCCCGGGGCGAAUAGGCGUCCGGCAGGGAGGUAGUGCCUGACGUCCCGGAAGAUUACUACAGCCCCACAAUGCUGGGCCUCAAGACGGACCAGGAGGUCCUGGGGGAGCUGGUGAGGACCAAGCUGCCGGCGGUGGCGACGCUCAUGGACGGGCACGGUGUCCCGUGGGCCCU